ACAAUGGUUUUCAGAAGUGUUCCUGAGCCCAUGCAGUGAUGUCCAAGACAUAAUCAUGUCUGUUUUUAUUGCAGUUCCAACCCGCAUGAAGGAAUGUGAGCCCCCCCUUCAUUGACUACCUGACUGGCACCCCAACCCGCUUUGGGAAGAAUAGUUUUGGGAGCUCCGACGUGCCAACAAGCCUUUGACCAGCUUAAGGGUGCCUAGAUGAACACCCAAUUCCUUCCAUAUGUAGGUUUCAGUAAACACAUUUAACAAUGUUUAUUCAUCAACAAAUGAACUUACCAGGUCACAUAAUUGGAAUUCUACAACAGUAACCAAGUAGUCAAUUCAGUAGGUUUUGUAUAUCUUGUGCAGUAUUAAUGAGUAAUUAUUUAGUACUUUUUCAUGAGGGCUCAGGAGAUUUUACUCCUGAGGGAGCAAGUCCUGUUUGAAAUACCCAUUAUCAAACAACUAGGGCUAUACAAUUUAUCUAACAUUAUUCAGCAAUGAAAAAAACAAACCUCUAUAAUGUUUCCACUACGAAUCAACCAUUGUAAAAGACAACAGCCAACACAGAUAUCACAGUAACUUUGAAUUUAUUUGAAUAUGUAAAGAUACUAUAUUGAACACCUUAAAUUAGUUAGGUUACAAUUGAAAAAGAAACAUUUAGGAUUUUUUUAAUACAAAUGUAUAUUUAUAGAUAUUUAAAGGUGACGAAUAGAUUUCUUUCAAAUAUAACACUGUUUCUUAAAUAAAUAACUGCUGAUUGAAUCCAUCUUACAACUUAUUAAUUACACCA